CUCAACCUCCAACUCCUUACUCGCCAAGAACUGACCACCAUUUCCAAUAUGAUUCCUAGUGGUAGUUACAUAAAAUUCCCAUCUCCUAAUAGGCUAACCGGAUCCUGUGACAAGAAAACUGUAGACCUCGGCAUGAGAGUGAGCUAAAACUGAACCUUGGCUGAAAGAGUGUUUAUAAAUAGUUGGGCUGGGAUGGCAAGAGGUGACACACAAACAAGAAAAUAAGAUGGAGGUGACCAGUGGUGGCAUUCAGAACUAUGGGUGGAACUGGUGGAAACUGGGUCGGCGGAAGCAUGGUCUGAGAAUUAUUUGCAAGAUCGAAUCCAGUGACAUCCAGCAGAACUUUCCACGAUGAAAGGAAUGUCCUAGACCUGUACUGCCCAGUAUGGUAGCCAGGGGCCACAUAGGACUAUUGAGCACUUUCAAUAUGACUACGGUGAUUGAAGAACUGAAUUUUAAUUAUAUUUAAUUUUAAGCAAACAUAGUUACCUAUGGCCAGUGGCUCAGGGCAGAAAAACAUACACUUAUCUGAAGCUCUUCAUUGCACCAAUUGUUUGCAAACCUUUCCUGCUCUCCUACUCCUUAAGUUCUAAAUGUAUUUUAUCCACUAUCUGAGUUAUUUCCAUGUAAAUUAAUCUUCAGAGAUUAGUUUUGAUGGUAAUGUAAACGUAACUGCCCGGCAAAUAAUUUUUAGAGGUGGAAUCGCAAGGCAAAACAAUAUACUUGAAAACAAGCUAGAAGAGGUUAUCAGCCAAAGGAGCAUACCGGGGAGUGAAAAACAAUUAGGUGGAUCACGUUAUUUUAAUCCUGUGUCUGGGCGUUCUAAGCAAACUCAUCUGCUAUUUAAAGAAAGUUGCCAACAUUUGCCCUCCUGUCCUUUGAGGAAACAUGCCAUAUAUGCUUUCAUUUCCUCCUGUUUAGACAGUCGUUUUAAUGCCCUUUUCCGAUGUUAUCCCUGAACACACAAUUAACAGAUUUCUACUCAGAUGCCAGCUGCUGUGAGAAUUGUCCGUCUGUCACUCGCAUGUUGCCUCAGCCCUGGCUCACUUACACUGCUUGGCAAUGAGAUUCUAUAAUAACUUUAAGCUGCUCUGUCCGAACAAUAAACUCUAUGGAAUUUCAGUCUAACCAUUAAUUUCUUUUUAGGGCAAGUUUACCUCCUCUGUUUUUAGACUCCUCCAAGCCUGCCAUGCCACUCUUAAUAGGCUAUGAAAGUUUUAUGGGUUUUUGACCAUUUUGCCUCUCUCAGGGUAUUCUGAUGCCAAAGAUAGCAGAGAUAUAUCCCCAUUUCCUUCAGCCAACGGCUUGUCUUUGCCGGCUGCUUUAUUAAAUGGGUGUGCAACGCUGGGAAGGAGCUCUGCGAUUUUCUGGCACGAUAAAAUGGACUAUACAUUGAGGCUGUUGUUUCAGAUUCCAGCCAUGGGCUUCCCAGAUUUGGCAACCUAUUCAGAACAUGUCCUGUAGGCACGGUACCGUAAUAAGUCCAGCACGUGGCCCUUUCUUUCCCAAGGUCGAAUGAACAAGAGCAGAGCUUAAUGAAGAUUUUUGAAAGAGCUGUUGACUCUCCAGCGCUAUUUUAAAGUAACUUGCUUUACGAAAGUACUCGGGUAACAUGCAACUUUACAAAAUAUUAAAUGGAGGUACGUGCCAUGAAGAUAAUAAUGUAUAUAUUCUUUGGCCUAGCAAUUCUGGUUUUGGGUAUCAGAAAAAUAUUUACAGAUGUGCCCAACAAGGCACAUUAAAGAACAAUAAUGCCAGCAUUUGAGAUUAGCAAGAGUCAGGACCAUCUAAAUGUUCAUUUGUAGGGGGAUUGAUUAAAUGAAGCUUGGGACAUCCCUAUAAUGGAAUAAUUUGCAGUCAUUUGAGAAGAUGCAGAGAUUUACGUGUAAGUGCUGAUAGUGAAUGAUAUUUAAGAUGAAUUAAGAAGGGAAAUGCAAGGUGUAGUUCAGUGUUAUUUAGUUUGCUUCUACUUGUGUUCUCAAAAGGCUUAUUUAUACUAAGAAAAACCCACACACCCACAGAUGUGCUUGUGUAGGCAAAAAAAAAAAAAAAAAUUUUUUUUGGAAGAAUACCCAAAAGCUUGUCAACAAAGUGGUUAUUUGAAGGAGAUAGACAUGUUUUAUUUUGUAUUCCAUUUGCACUGUGAUUUUUUUGGAAUCGGGAGUGUGUUUUAAUUUUCUCAUAAAAAAUUACUUAAUACGAAGAUGGUAAGAUUCAUCUAUAAGCCCACUACUCAAGAAACGUUUUACUAUUUUAGUAUAUAUUCUGCCAGACUUUACUUUGGUCAUAUAUGGCAUAUGUUAGAUGAUGUAGUCCAUCCAUUUUGUGAUUCAUUUUUUUUACCCAAUAAAAAUCUCUCGUGUUAACAAAUAACACUUUUUUUUUGUUUUAAUAAACUUUAUUGACAACAAAAUGCAAAGAUAAUAAAAUGCACCUGUUUUAAGUGCGUAUUGUUUCCACAAAUACAGACGGGUUUGUACAGUGUUAUUUUUAAUGGCCGCAUAGAACGGCUUCUUACUAAACAGAGAUU